rnacentral:rRNA from 1 species
UACGUAGGGGGCCAGCGUUGUCCGGAUUCAUUGGGCGUAAAGCGCGUGUAGGCGGCUUGGUAGGUCCGCUGUGAAAACUCGAGGCUCAACCUCGAGAUGUCGGCGGAAACCACUUGGCUAGAGUCCGGAAGAGGAGAGUGGAAUUCCCGGUGUAGCGGUGAAAUGCGCAGAUAUCGGGAAGAACACCUAUGGCGAAGGCAGCUCUCUGGGACGGUACUGACGCUGAGACGCGAAAGCGUGGGGAGCGAACAGG